rnacentral:rRNA from 1 species
CCGGAGAAUGUUAUCACGGGAGACACACGGCGGGUGCUAACGUCCGUCGUGAAGAGGGAAACAACCCAGACCGCCAGCUAAGGUCCCAAAGUCAUGGUUAAGUGGGAAACGAUGUGGGAAGGCCCAGACAGCCAGGAUGUUGGCUUAGAAGCAGCCAUCAUUUAAAGAAAGCGUAAUAGCUCACUGGUCGAGUCGGCCUGCGCGGAAGAUGUAACGGGGCUAAACCAUGCACCGAAGCUGCGGCAGCGAACGUAUCACUUAAAGCGAUUCAGCGGGUUACGAUUGACGGAGCGAAGCGACGUCAAAGCGUAUACAAAGUCGAGUCGGUUUAAGGAUACGUUCGUUGGGUAGGGGAGCGUUCUGUAAGCCUGYGAAGGUGUGUCGUGAGGCAUGCUGGAGGUAUCAGAAGUGCGAAUGCUGACAUAAGUAACGAUAAAGCGGGUGAAAAGCCCGCUCGCCGGAAGACCAAGGGUUCCUGUCCAACGUUAAUCGGGGCAGGGUGAGUCGACCCCUAAGGCGAGGCCGAAAGGCGUAGUCGAUGGGAAACGGGUUAAUAUUCCCGUACUUGGUGUUACUGCGAAGGGGGGACGGAGAAGGCUAUGUUGGCCGGGCGACGGU